CCUACGGGUGGCAGCAGUGGGGGAUAUUGCACAAUGGGGGAAACCCUGAUGCAGCAACGCCGCGUGAGGGAAGAAGUAUUUCGGUUUGUAAACCUCUAUCAUCAGGGAAGAAAAUGACAGUACCUGACCAAGAAGCACCGGCUAACUACGUGCCAGCAGCCGCGGUAAUACGUAGGGGGCAGGCGUUAUCCGGAUUUACUGGGUGUAAAGGGGGCGGAGGCGGUGAUGCAAGUCUGAAGUGAAAGCCCGGGGCUCAACCCCGGGACUGCUUUGGAAACUGUGUAACUGGAGUACAGGAGGGGCAGGCGGAAUUCCGGGUGUAGCGGUGAAAUGCGUAGAUAUCAGGAGGAACACCAGCGGCGAAGGCGGCCUGCUGGACUGAAACUGACGCUGAGGCUCGAAAGCGUGGGGAGCAAACAGGAUUAGAUACCCUGGUAGUC
rnacentral:rRNA from 1 species